UUAAAUAACAUUUAGUAUGCUUUAGAACCUGAACUUUAAAAUUCUGAAGACUUUUUUAAAAAAAAAAAUUAAUCUUUAACCUUUUAGGGUUCGGUGGGUGAACCAGGACCUAAGGGUGAACAGGGUGCACCUGGAGCAGAAGGAGAUGGUGGAGAAAAGGGUGACUUAGGUGACAUGGGACUACCAGGAGCAAAGGGAACUGUAAGUAUAACGAAUAGCAUUGUUACAG
rnacentral:lncRNA from 1 species